GUAGGUGAACCUGCGGAGGGAUCAUCACCGAGUGAGGGCCCUCGCGCCCGACCUCCAACCCUUUGUCGAUCAAUAUCUGUUGCCUCGGGGGGCGACCCGGCCGUCCGCGGGCGGGGGUCCCCCAGAGGACCAAUCAACUCUGCAUCUUUGCGUCGAGUAUUGAAUAUAAAUCAAUCAAAACUUUUAACAACGGAUCUCUUGGUUCUG
rnacentral:misc_RNA from 1 species